CUCAAAAAAAAUAGCGUCAGAGAAAUGCUACGGCGCAUGCGUUGGAUUACUAUCCACAAUAUGGCGUACAGUGAGUUGUAAACACAUUUCAGGUUUGAAAAUAUUUUUAAAAAACAUUGUUAUAAUAAUGGAACGUCGCGUAGUUGUUGGUGGUUUCACGUGCGCAAUGCAAGAUUGCAAUGAAAAUUCCGGCUCCAGUCGUCACUUGAGCUUUUUUCGCUUUCCAUCUCAUCCAGAAAGAGCACAAUUGUGGCUACAAGCAUGCGGAAUAAAAAAAAAUAUUGCACCAAAAAAGUUAUAUAAUAAUUAUAGAGUUUGCUUAAA